AAGUCGUAACAAGGUUUCCGUAGGUGAACCUGCGGAAGGAUCAUUAACACUGGUGUGAAAGCACCUUAAACUACAAACCAACUCUGUGAUCUCGUUUUGCACGAAUUGGGGCUAUGCUGAUCUGAUAGUCGCAGUGGCUGGGGGAUUAUGUACCUGCUUGAUUCUGUUACUUAUGUAGCUGGGUUGGGUGGGUGUGUGGUUCUAGACUGUUGGAUCUGGGCUGAGAGCCCGAGGCGUGGCGAACCGAUCGUGGGUAAAUAACCUUACCUCCACUUUAACCAUUUAUUUUACUAUCUGAUGUGGGAUGCGGCCGAAAGGCGGUUCCACGUAAAACAAACGCACAACUCUCAGCAGUGGAUGUCUCGGCUCUA
rnacentral:misc_RNA from 1 species